UUGUAGCUCGGUCAGCAGAGCAUGAGAUGCUUCAUCUCAAGGUCAUGGGUUCGAACCCCACGUUGGGCAAAA